GACUGAUUUCUGAAAUUUUAUACAUUAAACAACAAUGUAACGGGCUCAAUUUACAAUCUGACACGGAUUUCUUACACCACGCAUAUUUAUCUAUUGUCGACAGUUUAUAGCUUGUUUUGCUAUCUAUUUAUCCUCAUCUGUAUGUUUGUUUAUCUCUCCGGAUAUCUGUUCGUACCGGCAGCACCAGUUCCCUUCUCAUUUCAAGUUUGACCGUUGUACAGACAAGACGUUCUCGAUUUGUCUCAAUUUCAAUUACUUAUUUAUUUACGCCUUUUGACAUGUGGUUAUUUGCGCUGACAAAAUUCUUUUGUACAUGGACAGCUACUGACGUUGAGUCCGAAUCAUGUUCCGAUUUUCGAGCCUAACAACUCGUAUAAGCGUUACAUCUUCCGGAUGAGGAAGCCCUUCACCUCAACCUCAGCUGCGCCUUCGAAUUGUUACUGAAGAUGGCUCGAAGAAUGAGCCGAAACGUUUAAUAAUAAAUUAUGUAUAUCUGAAA